GACGAACGCUGGCGGCGUGCCUAAUACAUGCAAGUAGAACGCACAGUUUAUACCGUAGCUUGCUACACCAUAGACUGUGAGUUGCGAACGGGUGAGUAACGCGUAGGUAACCUGCCUGGUAGCGGGGGAUAACUAUUGGAAACGAUAGCUAAUACCGCAUAAUAUUGAUUAUUGCAUGAUAAUUUAUUGAAAGAUGCAAUUGCAUCACUACCAGAUGGACCUGCGUUGUAUUAGCUAGUAGGUGAGGUAACGGCUCACCUAGGCGACGAUACAUAGCCGACCUGAGAGGGUGAUCGGCCACACUGGGACUGAGACACGGCCCAGAGGCCUACGGGAGGCAGCAGUAGGGAAUCGUCGGCAAUGGACGAAAGUCUGACCGAGCAACGCCGCGUGAGUGAAGAAGGUUUUCGGAUCGUAAAGCUCUGUUGUAAGAGAAGAACGGGUGUGAGAGUGGAAAGUUCACACUGUGACGGUAUCUGACCAGAAAGGGACGGCUAACUACGUG
rnacentral:rRNA from 1 species